rnacentral:ncRNA from 2 species
AUAUACAAGUUCUAAACAGGUGCUAUGCAUAAAGCAUGCUAAGCUUAAAAGGGAAGCUCGGUGAAAGUCCGGCACGGUUCCCGCCACUGUAAUCCGGAGCAACUUGCAAGCAGUCACUGCUUUAUCUAAAAAGUGGGAAGACGCAAGGAGCAUUGAUGGUAAGUCAGGAGACCUGCCUGUUUAGAGGACACGAA